rnacentral:rRNA from 1 species
AGUGAACGCUGGCGGUAGGCCUAACACAUGCAAGUCGAACGGCAGCACAGUAAGAGCUUGCUCUUACGGGUGGCGAGUGGCGGACGGGUGAGGAAUACAUCGGAAUCUACUUUUUCGUGGGGGAUAACGUAGGGAGACUUAUGCUAAUACCGCAUACGACCUACGGGGGAAAGCAGGGGUUCUUCGGACUUUUUGCGAUUGAAUGAGCCGAUGUCGGAUUAGCUAGUUGGCGGGGUAAAGGCCCACCAAGGCGACGAUCCGGAGCUGGUCUGAGAGGAUGAUCGGCCACACUGGAACUGAGACACGGUCCAGACUCCUACGGGAGGCAGCAGUGGGGAAUAUUGGAGAAGGGGGGAAAGCCUGAUCCAGCCAUACCGCGUGGGUGAAGAAGGCCUUCGGGUUGUAAAGCCCUUUUGUUGGGAAAGAAAAGCAGCAGUUUAAUACCCCGCUGUUCUGACGGUACCCAAAGAAUAAGCACCGGCUAACUUCGUG